UACAGAGGUCUCAAGCGUUGUUCGGAAUCACUGGGCGUAAAGGGUGUGUAGGCUGCGUGUUAAGUCAGAUGUGAAAAUCCCCGGGGCUCAACCUCGGAACUGCAUCCGAUACUGGCAUGCUAGAGAAUUGGAGAGGAGUCUAGAAUUCACGGUGUAGCAGUGAAAUGCGUAGAUAUCGUGAGGAAUACCAAGUGCGAAGGCAGGACUCUGGACAUUUUCUGACGCUGAGACACGAAGGCCAGGGGAGCAAACGGG
rnacentral:rRNA from 1 species